rnacentral:rRNA from 1 species
AGCGAACGCUGGCGGCAGGCCUAACACAUGCAAGUCGAACGGAUCCUUCGGGAUUAGUGGCGGACGGGUGAGUAACACGUGAGAACGUGCCCUUUGGUUCGGAACAACUCAGGGAAACUUGAGCUAAUACCGGAUGUGCCCUUCGGGGGAAAGAUUUAUCGCCAUUGGAGCGGCCCGCGUCUGAUUAGCUAGUUGGUGAGGUAAAGGCUCACCAAGGCGACGAUCAGUAGCUGGUCUGAGAGGAUGAUCAGCCACACUGGGACUGAGACACGGCCCAGACUCCUACGGGAGGCAGCAGUGGGGAAUCUUGCGCAAUGGGCGAAAGCCUGACGCAGCCAUGCCGCGUGAAUGAUGAAGGUCUUAGGAUUGUAAAAUUCUUUUACCGGGGACGAUAAUGACGGUACCCGGAGAAGAAGCUCCGGCUAACUUCGUGCCAGCCGCCGCGGUAAUAC